GGCCAAAGCAGCCCCAGUGCCGCCGAGAGCAAGCCCAGCAGCAGCGCCAGAUCAGUUCCAUAUGUCACUGAACUUUUGCACAGCAGUCCUGAGCAAGCCUUGAGUGGUGGUGGGCGAGGCAGGCAGACAGCAGAUGAGAUGGAUGGCAUUCUUAUCUUCCUCUUCCCCCAACAGGCAGGGCUCAAAGGUAAAUACUAGCAUGCGGCAACACUCAGCGGGCAGUUUGAGGAGCAUCUCGUGGCCUGAAAAUAAGGCGAAUAUGUGAUAACCAUUCACACUUUCUUUCUUUUUCGGGUUUAUUUUCGUAUUGUAGGGGGAAGGUUACAAUUUCAUGCCCACUGAAUGAAAGAAAAAGAAUGAAACAAUGAAUGAAAUGGAGGAAACAAAUACUAUGCACAGGACUAGUGGAUACAUUCCAAGUUUUAGUCCUGAUUUAGUCCAAGGAGCAUCCUGUUGUGAGAGAAUUGGCUGUUUGCAAGGACGUUGCCCAGGGGACGCCCGGAUGAUUUUGAUGUUUUAUCAUCCUUGUGGGAGGCUUCUCUCAUGUCGCCACAUGAGGAGCUGGAGCUGAUAGAGGGAGCUCAUCUGCCUCUCCCCGGAUUUGAACCUGCGACCUGUCGGUCUUCAGUCCUGCCAGCACAGGGCUUUAACCCACUGCACCACUGGGGGCUCCUUUUUGAGACUGAGAAUGUGUGAUUCACCUUAAGUCACCAAGUCAGUUUCCAUGGCCAAGCAGGGAACUGAACCCUAGUCUCCAGAGUCAGGAUGCAACACUCAAACCAUGCUUGCUGUUACAAAACCUGAAAUACAAUGAGAAGCUUAUAGUUUCUGUGGGAUAUUUGGGUCCAAUAAUAAAUCAUCCUUUCUUAUGCUGAAAACAUGCUUUGGAGAAUUUCCCAGUCCUCUACAUCAGGUUUUAAGGUUUUCUGGAGCAUUGGGGGCUUCAGAAAGAGGUGAGAAUGCACUUGGCUGCAAUUGUGAAUGCUGCCUUUUGCAGUUUAAGAAAUAAACAUGGGUAGAUCUAUUCUAUAUGCUAACUAAGUUGAGGCGAGAGGGCACAAUUAAGCCAGCAGAAUGACUGUUGUAUUAUAAACUUCACUAGAUUGCCCUUGGGUUUGGUCCAAGGCCGCUCUUCUUACUGUGUAUUUUCUUUCAGCCCUUCACAUAGAUGAGUCAUCUCUGCAGAACACAACACACAGCGAAACGGCCAAACCUUACUAUAUAUUUUGUACACUUAGAUGGUCCAUGCUGGAAAUUGUAAUGUUAAUGGAAAUUUUCUAGUGGGUUAUUUGACAGUUCCUUAUAGACUAUAAUGGUGCAGAAGAGAGUCUUAAUCAGUUAUAACAGCAACACAAUUACAUAAGUACAAGAGCUCAACUACAUGCAAUGGCAGGAGUUGGGAUAUUGAUAUCAGUGGACUUCCAAACACAUAGUGCUUACAAGACCAGGAAAGGAAAGUCUUCAAAGCUAAAAGCUUUGUAACCUUUUGAAACAGUAAUCAAAUCAGAUAAACUUGAUAACUGGUGGCAGCAGGAAAAAAAUUAUGAAAAUCUCCCUUGUCUUUCAGGACCAUUACUUAAAAAAUUUGAAAAAGGAAUCAACAUAACUUUAAACAAAGUCUACAGAGAAAAUUCACAAAUUUCCUCAAUGAAAAAAAGUCUAUGGACAUGUUACAGCAAUGUUUACACAUUUUAUUUUUUUUUAUCUCUGUGCAUCCAUAUAUUGUAUCUUGCUGUGGUUUUAUGGGUUGUUAUGGUUUUAUGGAUUUGAAUUGUUUUUAAUACUAAUGAAUGUUUUGUUGGGUCAGGAGCUAAUGUGUCAGGAGUACUAAUGAUGUUUAGUACUAUUUUAAUAUUUGCAUAUUUUAAAAUGUAAUGUUUUUAAUGUUAGCCACUUUGAGUCACCUUAUGGAGAGAAAAAGCGGGACAAAAAUAAAAUUGAUAAUAGUACAUAUUCCACAAUAAAA